UACGAGGGGGGCGAGCGUUGUUCGGAAUUAUUGGGCGUAAAGGGUGCGUAGGCGGUUCCGCAAGUCCUGUGUGAAAUCUUCGGGCUCAACUCGAAGUCUGCACGGGAAACUGCGGGGCUUGAGUGUGGGAGAGGUGAGUGGAAUUCCCGGUGUAGCGGUGAAAUUCGUAGAUAUUGGGAAGAACGACCGGUGGCGAAGGCGGCUACACUGGCCCGUAACGUGACGCUCAUGCACGACAGCGUGGGGAUCAAACAGG
rnacentral:rRNA from 1 species